UGUAUUGUUGGAACUGCUACAACCCAGAUGGGCUUAGCUCAGCAAAAUUCUAUUGAUUCACUCACACUAAUCAAAACAAACUCCUAGACAAUCUCUCACUGAUUCACUCUCACUAAUCAGUCAUCACAGACCGUGCCGUCCGCCGCCGUCGACCCGCGGAGAAUCAGUGCCGCCGAUGGUUCAUCCUCAAGCAAAGGGAAGCUCCUCUGGUUUGCUUCUAUGCUACUAGUUCUAGUUCAUCUCUUUGGAAACAUUCGAGUUGGAAAAUCUGUGGUCAGAUUUAGGGACUUUGGCACUCUGCUUACCACCUUUGAACCUUGUGUGACAUGAACGGGGUUUACAGAAGUCCAUGAUGGGGCGUAAACUCGCAAUAACUGCUCGUCGUUUCCAGUGGGUGCAUUGAUGUAAACGACCCUUUCAUUGGAAAUCUGUAAAUUGCCCAGAGCAUGCCUUGGCCGUUUGCAGCCCCCGCCUGCUGUUGGGGAUGUCGUCGGCUCUUCCCUAACGGCUGUCCCUCUCCUGAGUCAUCAGAUUCUGUCUCCUUUGUUGGCUCUACCAUUUCAAAGAUUGCAGGCACACUAGAGUUGGGUUCAUCAAUGAUGUGGCCUCCGAAGGCUGUGGCCGUUCUUUGAACUGCGCACGUGAUUAUGUUGUGAAACAUUCCAACUUUUCCUCGACUAAGACUGUACACGGCGUUCAUGGGAGUCUGAACUGAAACCGUGAUUCGUCCGAAGAAAAUAUCUGUUCUAAUAAAAGAAAUGAAGCGCAAAAUACUAAAAUGGAAUAAGGGAUUUUUUUUUUUAUAUUAUGGAUGCACAGAUAAGUUCCGAGUUAGGGUGGGAGGAGAAGACAGUAAAAUUCACGUGCUCAAGAGAGACAUGGACCAAGUUUUUAUCGAAAUUUGGGAUGAGGAAAAGAAAAAUAUUUGUGUAUGAUCACAAGUGGUGUUCUGAUUUUAUACCACUAUUACUUGCCGCUCACAGAGGAUAAGAGUAGUAGCGGACCAUCAGAGUCGGGGUCAGAGUUGGGGUCUAGUGGGCAAAGAAAGAAACGACAAUCAGAGUGAACUGUGGAGAAGAGAAGCUGAUGGAGACAGGUCCUCCUUUUGCAGUGCAAAUGAAGAUGUGCACAGACAAACUUGAAGACUCUCUUGGAAGGCAGACCUUCCUAUGUUUACCAGAUGACUAUCUUAAAGUGUUCGUUGAUUAGGGGCUAUCCACAUUAGUUGGGUGAGAGUUUAAGACCCCCAAAACUAAACCCACCAUUGUCUAUUUCCUAAACCAGUAAGUAUAAACUUUUUUGGAUAGUGGCAAACAGUGAAGUGUUUUUUAUUAGUCAAGACUUGUUUUGGUAAGGGAUGACUUUUAGGCUGGUGAUAAAGAAUGUUUUACAUUUCCAUAUGAACUUCCGAGUUCCAAGUUCCAGAUUGGCAAGGGAUUGCAUAAAAUCGAGAGAAAUAUUCAUGAGC